AUUGAACGCUGGCGGCAGGCCUAACACAUGCAAGUCGAGCGGAUGAAGGGAGCUUGCUCCUGGAUUCAGCGGCGGACGGGUGAGUAAUGCCUAGAAAUCUGCCUGGUAGUGGGGGAUAACGUCCGGAAACGGGCGCUAAUACCGCAUACGUCCUGAGGGAGAAAGUGGGGGAUCUUCGGACCUCACGCUAUCAGAUGAGCCUAGGUCGGAUUAGCUAGUUGGUGGGGUAAAGGCCUACCAAGGCGACGAUCCGUAACUGGUCUGAGAGGAUGAUCAGUCACACUGGAACUGAGACACGGUCCAGACUCCUACGGGAGGCAGCAGUGGGGAAUAUUGGACAAUGGGCGAAAGCCUGAUCCAGCCAUGCCGCGUGUGUGAAGAAGGUCUUCGGAUUGUAAAGCACUUUAAGUUGGGAGGAAGGGCAGUAAGUUAAUACCUUGCUGUUUUGACGUUACCAACAGAAUAAGCACCGGCUAACUUCGU
rnacentral:rRNA from 1 species